rnacentral:rRNA from 1 species
UACGAGGGGGGCGAGCGUUGUUCGGAAUUAUUGGGCGUAAAGGGUGCGUAGGCGGUUCCGCAAGUCCUGUGUGAAAUCUUCGGGCUCAACUCGAAGUCUGCACGGGAAACUGCGGGGCUUGAGUGUGGGAGAGGUGAGUGGAAUUCCUGGUGUAGCGGUGAAAUUCGUAGAUAUUGGGAAGAACACCGGUGGCGAAGGCGGCUCUCUGGACCGUAACUGACGCUGAGGCGCGAAAGCGUGGGGAGCAAACAGG